rnacentral:rRNA from 1 species
AUGAACGCUGGCGGCGUGCUUCACCCAUGCAAGUCGCACGAAGCACUUUAUUUGAUUUCCUUCGGGACUGAUUAUUUUGUGACUGAGUGGCGGACGGGUGAGUAACGCGUGGGUAACCUGCCUUGUACAGGGGGAUAACAGUUGGAAACGGCUGCUAAUACCGCAUAAGCGCACAGCAUCGCAUGAUGCAGUGUGAAAAACUCCGGUGGUAUAAGAUGGACCCGCGUUGGAUUAGCUAGUUGGUGAGGUAACGGCCCACCAAGGCGACGAUCCAUAGCCGACCUGAGAGGGUGACCGGCCACAUUGGGACUGAGACACGGCCCAAACUCCUACGGGAGGCAGCAGUGGGGAAUAUUGCACAAUGGGCGAAAGCCUGAUGCAGCGACGCCGCGUGAGCGAAGAAGUAUUUCGGUAUGUAAAGCUCUAUCAGCAGGGAAGAUAAUGACGGUACCUGACUAAGAAGCACCGGCUAAAUACGUG